UACGGAGGCCCCGAGCGUUGUUCGGAAUUACUGGGCUUAAAGCGCGUGUAGGCGGGUCGGUAAGUGUCUUGUGAAAUCCCCGGGCUCAACCCGGGAAUUGCUCGGCAAACUACCGGUCUUGAGGCAGGUAUGGGUCACUGGAACCUUAGGUGUAGCGGUGAAAUGCGUAGAUAUCUAAGGGAACGCCGGUGGCGAAAGCGGGUGACUGGGCCUGUCCUGACGCUAAGACGCGAAGGCGUAGGGAG
rnacentral:rRNA from 1 species